UUCACGCACAAAUAAUACCAAAGAAAUCGACGUAUGAUUUUGGUAUUCCGGCCGAGUGUCUCUCCAGUUCUUUAACCUCUACUUCCUCCACCGCCAUCGCCGCUUCUGGCCGCCUCACCUACUAGUUCCUCCCUUCAUUAAUCCGAUCAAUUGUAGAGAAAUGAAGAUACUCGCCGUAUUAUUGCCGCCUUCUCAGCACGUCCUGGCCUUUCGCCUCCCAGCAAUAGCAGCGGCGCCAGCGAAGUCGGUACAAUACCGAGGAGGUAACUAUCGUUUACAUUUUGAAGGUCUUGAAAGGUACAAGGAGAGUAGAACCUCCAGCCGCCUGCUUGUCUCGGUAUUUUGUAGCCGUGUGAUUGAUAACAUCGAAAAAUGAUCAAAUCUUUUGAUCUAGUUCUUGUUGUACGUCUUUGUAGGAUAAAGUUGUCAUUUUGGCUGUUAUAUCAUUACAUGCUUGAAACUGAUUCUCAAUUAUCUGUGAUAUAUAUAGUGUGCUUGGCCUACAGCCUACUCAGUUUAAUUUCAUUUAGCUGGGAUAAUCUUGCUCCUCCCCUCUUUAAGGUUUUUAUGGUUUUUCUGCUUAUCUUUUUUGAAAAAUCUCCCCAGGAUUUGAGAUUUAGAGAACUUUCAUCAUUCUCUACGUGUGUCAUUCAUGAACUCUGGACAGUGAACAAUGAGUUAUUUAAAUUGUAGAUUUUAAAUGUGUUUGUCUCGUUUGAGUUGUCUGCUUAGUAUUACUAUUUUCUUUCUUUGCCCUUCUUUCUUGAGUUUUCGAUAAUAUUAGGAUAUACAUGCGCUUCUUAUUCAUCCUGCAGUGAGCAUUGAUACAUCAUUUGGUUAAGUUGUUUGGCUAUGUGAUACUGAUAAGGGACAAGGAGACAACAAGAGAAGACUUAUUGAUACAUGUAUUCUGAAAUAAAGAUAGUACCCUUUGCUGAAAAUGAUUACUCCCUUUUAUCCUUUCUGUUUGCACCAUCCCCCUUCUCAUACCUUGUAGGCUUAUUUAAUCAAGAAAGGAGUAUCACUGAAUAAGUAGUGGUUUGAAUUUGGACCUCCUCCUAUGAACUGUGAUUAUCCCUUUUAUAUUAAACUAGGGAAAGACUACUUAGGAGUUGUCUAUACAAAAUUCUCGAGUUUGCUUUCAAGAUUUAAUUCAAUCUACGAUACUAAUGAAUUUCAGACUGUUGGCUAGAUUUGCCUACUUGAAUACGGAGUAGAUAAUUAAUCUACAUGGAUGGACUGUCUGUAACAGGAUUAGGUGGAUUUUCCAGCUUCUGUUAUGAUGCAUAUCUAGGUUCCCUAUGUCCCGUGUUGGUCUUGAAUUUUAGUAGAGCAGAAUCCUCCAAUCAUGUUACUGAUUUUAGUUAACGAGGGUCAUGUCUUUAUGCGUGUAUGCUAUAAUACCAAUAGUAUGUGUUAACCUCAGAAAGAUAAGAUUUGUGUUUCGAGGCUGUUGAAUGUUCCCUCUAUAGUAACCAUCUAUUAUGGGUUAGGAUUAUUUUUCUUGGUUUGAUAACUUAUUUGGCAAAACAAGAUUCUCUCUCUAUCUCUGUCUUGCGAUUAUUGAAAUUUAUGAUGGCUUAAGUCAUGUCAGAGACCUUCAGACUUUUUUUCUCUCUGUAAACACUUUACUAUCAAAAUAUUGUUUUGAAGUCAUCUAACUUCACUAUUGCUUGUUCAAAAGUUCCAUAAAAGAAAUGACAAUUACCAGCCCUAAUGGUGCUUUACUGUAGUAGCUAACUGAUAGGUGCUGGGAGUAACUUGAACCCAAUAUGUUAUGGGGUUGUAGUAGCAUUAUUGAUUCUCACUCAAGAGUUGAAAAUUACAGUUCUAUUUCUUUCUCUUCAUGUUUGUCCGUUCACAUUCUCGCCUUUUAUUUUGGGUAUUCAACUUUAACUAGGCGAUGUAAUCUUCUGAUUGUGUAUGGACUUUAUGGUGUAGCAUCGGUAGCUCCAUUGAAGAACUAUAUGGCAGACGUAGCACUCAAGUUACACUCUUCAAGUGCUUGCUAUUUGAAUACGGAGUAUUCAUAAAUAACUAUUACAAAGUUACAAAUCAUUGAGGGUAGCAAGUUAGCAUGGAGAUCCACAUGGAUCGAAUAGCUUUUAUGCUGUUACUUGCUACCAUGAAAUGUCCAAGGAAGAAGAAAAAAAAAAGAGAUCUAUGCACCAAUAUAUAUCAUAUUGCUUCAGCAAUUCACCAAAAUAGUUUCUGUCGAACCGGAGGUAUGGAAGAGUAAAAGUUUCGAGAAGAGGUAGUGAUGUUGCCUGUGGCUGUGACGGCUUCCGUCUGGUGGAAGCUAUAUCCGAGACAGACGCCAUCUUGGUGCGUUUGUUCUUACAGCAACCAACACCAACAGGGACGUUACGGUGGGUACCACCUUGAGUCCAGUACCUCCUACAGCCCCUACAGGGCUACAGAAGUACCUAGGUUGAGACAAGCUGUAGUUUUGUGAUAACAGAACUUGUUUAUCAGCUGAGUCACAGCUGGGACAGAGGUGUGGUAACGAGUUGUUGUCGUGUCCAUCGUCGCGUCCCCCACCAGCAUCCUGACCUUGCCACUCGCUGUGUUUAUCCUCUCCACCUCCAGCACCAGCACCAGCACCACCGCCACCGCCACCAGCACCACCACCACCGCUACCGCCACCAUCACCCAAUAAUCUGUUCCAUUUUUUGGUUAGGUUUUGGGUAAAAGUUGGUUACCCAAUAAUCUGUUCCAUUUUUUGGUUAGGUUUUGGGUAAAAAUUGGUUGUUCACUUGUUUGUGAGCACAACCAAAGAGUUCUAGCUCUUAGGCUCUUAGGCUCUUAGGCUCUAGCUAUGUAGAGACUAGAGUAGAACUUGCAAAUUGAAAGUAGGGCAAGCAGAAAGAGGUUGUCACCUAAUUCUCUUGCAUAAAAGCUAUGAUCAAAUGUGUUGAAUCGAUCAAACUUAAUUGUAGUGAUAUUUAUAGUUUAUAAAGACUAGAGGUUCUUACAAUGUUAGUUCUCAUACAUUUAAGGUAUGAUAUCAGCUAUUUAUUGA